rnacentral:pre_miRNA from 1 species
CAUAUACUCCCUCCGUCCGAAAAUACUUGUCAUCAAAAUAGAUAAAAAGAGAUGUAUCUAGAACUAAAAUACAUCUAGAUACAUCCCCUUUCAUCCAUUUUGAUGAGAAGUAUUUUCGGACGGAGGGAGUACUAG